rnacentral:lncRNA from 1 species
CCGGCCCCCCCGCCGUGGGGCAGGGGGCGGGCUCUAUGUGGUGACGGGUGCUCCUGGCGAUGGCAAGACCGUCUUCAUGGCGGCGCUGGCGCGGGAGCUGAGCGCCCAUCCCCCGGCCCAGGACACCUCCCUCACCCGCUGCCUGGUUGUCUCCCACUUCACUGGGGCCCGGCCGGACCAGGCCAGCGCCAGGGUGGUGCUGAGACAGUUGUGUGCCCGCCUGAGCUGUCUGCUGGGCCAGACGGCCCCGCCCCCCACCAGCUACAGGGGGCUGGUGUGCUGUCUGGAGUCCCUCCUGCCUGCGGUGGCCGAGUUGCUCCGGGG